UCAGCUUGAAUUGAUUAGAGACACUCUAUGCCGUAAUAGUUUAAUUGCACUCCAAUUCAACAAUUUAAUUUUAAUUUUAUUUCAUGUGCAGGUUGAUGCCCGUACAAGCUCAAAUUGGGAGGAUAAUUCGCAUAAAUAAGGCUGCUGGAAGAGGGUGGUCAGAUGUUGAUUUAAAGAAAUUGAAUUGACAAUAAAACAAAGAAGGAAAUUCGGUCCAAAGUGGAUGUACAGCAGGCCGAAUGAAUUAAACAAAUAAAGGAGGAGCAGUCGGUCCAAUUGGAAGCCAAACAUGCGACAAACUUAAAAAGGGAAUUAUUAUUUCCUUCUUACCAAGCGGUGGCUGAUUUUAGUUCAAUCAAUUGGAAGCCAAAUCAGCUUUGAAGAGUUAAAUUAAAACUCUACUAAGCUGAAGCUAUUUUCAUGCGACGGGUGAGGCUAAGAAAAAAGGGAUAAGAUCAGAAUUAAUUUUGAAUUGUGGGAGGUUAUUAUCCCAUAAAUAGAGAUGACAGCAGCUGAAAAAGGGGGAGAGAAGAAACAGAGGAAAAUAUUCAGCAGCAUAGGAAAGGCGUGGUUCAAGUGAGCAGAAUUUUCUAAAAUUGGCCCAGCAAAUCCGAUCAAGGAGCUAGAGUAGCAGCUAGUAAAUUCAGCUAGUUGGGAGAAGGGAAAUCGGACGACUCGAAGAACUUUGCCUUCCAAGAAUCAGCUUGAUGAAGAUAUAAAGGCCCAAUUGACGUGGAAGCAAGGGACGAGUGAUGCACAAGCUUUUCGAGACAUCAAAGCAUGAAACGAACAACACAAGGUAGAAUUUGCAUGUUGUGUUGUGCCAUAGACAUUGCAUGGUGGGACACAGGUCAACUUCCUGCCCAAGUAGGCCGAUGUUAUUUUCAUCAGUGCAAUCAACUUUAUACGAAGACCUAGGAUGUGCCGAAGACCUAAUUUGGGCUGCCAACACUUGUACAAAUAAGACAUUAGGGGUUUGAUGUAACUAAGUCGUCCUAGACGCAAUCAAAAACCAUAGUAGUUUAAGAGUAAGAUUAGAUUUUUUGUUUCGGCUUUCCACGACUUAUUUGUUUUUCCUCUUAGAAUCGCUUCGAUCCAAGAGUUUAUUUAUUUUAUUAAAGUAUUUCAAAAUUAUUUCUUC